rnacentral:rRNA from 1 species
GAUGAACGCUGGCGGCGUGCCUAACACAUGCAAGUCGAGCGAGAUGUCUGUGAUGGAUUCUUCGGAUGACAGAUCAGACGGAAAGCGGCGGACGGGUGAGUAACGCGUAGGCAACCUGCCCUUCACAGAGGGAUAGCCUCGGGAAACCGGGAUUAAAACCUCAUAAUGCCAUAGGAAGACAUCUUCUCUUGGCCAAAGAUUUAUCGGUGAAGGAUGGGCCUGCGUCUGAUUAGUUAGUUGGUGGGGUAACGGCCUACCAAGGCGACGAUCAGUAGCCGACCUGAGAGGGUGAUCGGCCACAUUGGAACUGAGACACGGUCCAA